rnacentral:lncRNA from 1 species
AGUCACAUGCUUGCAUCUUAGUCCAAUCACUGUGGCCUGGAGGAUGGGACACCAUGAUUUGCAAGACUCUGGUCACAUGCCCACACCUGUGGCUUCUGAAGCAGAGCACCAGCAGUGACAGUCCCACCAGAACCGCAUGGAAUAGAAAACUGUGCAUUUCCCUAAGGAAAGGGAAUGCCAGAGAAGGGCAGAAGGGAAAUCAGGAAGACAAAACGUGUCUUCAUGUUGGAGUGGACCUUUCCUCUAUCUGUCAACAGAAUGGAUAAAUUGUGGAAGAGUAAUAUCAGAAUACUACACAUCAGUAAAAAACAACAAACUUCUGCUACAAACAAUCAACAUCGAUGAAUCUUUCAGGCAAAAGGUUAUAGAAACAGAUGAUCAGUGGCCCACGGAUUCCAGGUGAGGAUCUGGGACCCAGACAUCCAGAUAUUGAAAACACAGGGAUGGAGUCUGUAUGGAAAAAAUUAAAAUAUAGCAAAAUGUGAAAUACGGAAGAGAAAUCUUUCAAUUUCCCAAUGGAAGUGAGAAAAGAGCAAAGAAAAGUAUUGGUCUUCCAAAACAAAUAGAGGACGGAGCUGCUGCUGUUGCAUGGUGUCUAGAAACUCAGACAACUUCAUCAUUCCAUAUUUGCAUCCAAGAGAGAGAAAGAAAAACUACAAUCAUUUUCCAUUUACCCAUCAACCCAUCAACCUCCAAAUAAAGGCUAUUAAAAAACAAUCAAAGUGUGAAGAGGGCAGAAAAUGUGAUGAAGAGAUUCUUUGGAGAAAGUAGCUGCCACUGUUACCUUGGGAUCUGCCUAUAGUCCUCACAGAGCUUGCCCUUGCAGGAUAGAACAUAGGAGUCUGGGAGUCUGCAAGAAGAGACAGGGUCUCACUAUGUUGCCCCAGUUGGCCUUGAACUGCUGGACUCAAGGGAUCCUCCUGCCUCAGCAUCCUGAGUAGCUGGGUCUACAGGCAUGAACCACCAGGCCCAGAACCCUGUCUUUUGAAAGCCAUAUGCGAUCUGUCUGCCCUGAAGUGACUACUUCAUCUCCAACCAGCCCUUGGCUGGCAAAGUCAGGAAGACUCCAGUCUUUCCUGAAGACCAGGGGAGAGUUUAUAACUCUAGCAUCAAAGUCAGCAGCUGUUCAUCUAGAAGACAACUUCCCAAAAGUCAAUGUCUUUGCCUGAAGCUUUUCUUCCCAGAUCUCCUAUGGUGAAACAACCAAAGGGAAGAAGAAUGUGGGCAGCCCUCAGUAAGACAGGAGAUGAGCAUCAACAUUGACCCAUUCUUUCUUCCAG